GUCCAAUAUGGCGGCGCCCAGUGGCGGUGUGAACUGUGAGGAGUUCGCCGAGUUCCAGAAAGGAGUUGGUUUCAGUCAUGGAUUUAAGUUUGGCAAAGGAAUUACUCAAGGUGAUGAGGACAAUUGAUGACAGAAUAGUACAUGAAUUAAACACUACGGUUCCAACAGCUUCCUUUGCAGGGAAAAUUGAUGCCAGCCAAACCUGUAAACAACUUUAUGAGUCUUUGAUGGCAGCUCAUGCCAGUAGAGACAGAGUCAUAAAAAAUUGUAUAGCCCAGACUUCAGCAGUAGUAAAAAACCUCCGAGAAGAGAGAGAAAAGAAUUUGGACGAUUUAACGUUAUUAAAGCAACUUAGAAAAGAGCAGACAAAGUUUGCUAUGAAGAUUAUGGAAUCAGAGAGAGCUCUUGGAGAUGGUACAGCUCUACCUCUUCAUUUUCUAUCUGAGGAAAAAGACUCAGAGAUACUUGAGAUACUAACUGACACCCCCAAAGCCACAAGCUAUUGAAAUGGAUGCAGUCAGAACUGAAUGUUGAAGAAGUGGUAAAUGACAGGAGCUGGAAGGUGUUUAAUGAACGCUGCCGAAUUCACUUCAAGCCUCCAAAGAAUGAAUAAAGAGAGAUUCUUUUUUUUUUUUUUUUUUUUUAAGGAGUGGGUCAUCUCAUAAGAGCUAAGCAUGACAGAUAUCAACAGGGUGGGCUUUCUAGGAUGAUUUCUGAGCCAACAGUCCAAGACCUUUUGUUGAUUUCAGCCCCACUUAGCCAAGACCUCAAGUAUAAAUAAUUCUGAUAAUUAUGGAGAAAUCAACUGCUAUUUUAUACUGAUUCUGUAAAAAAAAAAAAAAAAAAAAAAAAGUUUUGUAACUAUUAAAAUAAUUUUCUGACUCAGUGUA